GAGUUUGAUCGUGGCUCAGGAUGAACGCUGGCGGCGUGCUUAACACAUGCAAGUCGAACGAAGCGCCUUAUUUGAUUUUCUUCGGAACUGAAGGUUGGUGACUGAGUGGCGGACGGGUGAGUAACGCGUGGUAACCUGCCCUGUACAGGGGGAUAACAAUCAGAAAUGACUGCUAAUACCGCAUAAGACCACAGCACCGCAUGGUGCAGGGGUAAAAACUCCGGUGGUACAGGAUGGACCCGCGUCUGAUUAGCUGGUUGGUGAGGUAACGGCUCACCAAGGCGACGAUCAGUAGCCGGCUUGAGAGAGUGAACGGCCACAUUGGGACUGAGACACGGCCCAAACUCCUACGGGAGGCAGCAGUGGGGAAUAUUGCACAAUGGGGGAAACCCUGAUGCAGCAACGCCGCGUGAGUGAAGAAGUAUUUCGGUAUGUAAAGCUCUAUCAGCAGGGAAGAAAGUGACGGUACCUGACUAAGAAGCCCCGGCUAACUACGUGCCAGCCGCCGCCGUAAG
rnacentral:rRNA from 1 species